rnacentral:tRNA from 1 species
GAGGGUAUAAUUCAGUGGUAAGUGUGUGCUUAGCAUGCACGAGGUCCUGGGUUCAAUCCCCGAUACCUCCA